rnacentral:rRNA from 1 species
AGCGCAGGCGGUCUUUUAAGUCUAAUGUGAAAGCCUUCGGCUCAACCGAAGAAGUGCAUUGGAAACUGGGAGACUUGAGUGCAGAAGAGGGCAGUGGAACUCCAUGUGUAGCGGUGAAAUGCGUAGAUAUAUGGAAGAACACCAGUGGCGAAGGCGGCUGUCUGGUCUGCAACUGACGCUGAGGCUCAAAGCAUGGGGAGCAAACA